rnacentral:rRNA from 1 species
CAGCCGCCGCGGUAAUACGGAGGGUGCAAGCGUUAUCCGGAUUCACUGGGUUUAAAGGGUGCGUAGGUGGGUCAGUAAGUCAGUGGUGAAAUCUCCGAGCUUAACUCGGAAACUGCCAUUGAUACUAUAGGUCUUGAAUUUUCUGGAGGUAAGCGGAAUAUGUCAUGUAGCGGUGAAAUGCUUAGAUAUGACAUAGAACACCCAUUGCGAAGGCAGCUUACUACGGGAUAAUUGACACUGAGGCACGAAAGCGUGGGGAUCAAACAGGAUUAGAUACCCUGGUAGUCCACGCCCUAAACGAUGGAUACUCGACAUCAGCGAUACACUGUUGGUGUCUGAGCGAAAGCAUUAAGUAUCCCACCUGGGAAGUACGACCGCAAGGUUGAAACUCAAAUGAAUUGACGG